rnacentral:rRNA from 1 species
GGUUAAGCGACUAAGCGUACACGGUGGAUGCCCUGGCAGUCAGAGGCGAUGAAGGACGUGCUAAUCUGCGAUAAGCGCCGGUAAGGUGAUAUGAACCGUUAUAACCGGCGAUUUCCGAAUGGGGAAACCCAGUGUGACUCGUCACACUAUCAUUAACUGAAUCCAUAGGUUAAUGAGGCGAACCGGGGGAACUGAAACAUCUAAGUACCCCGAGGAAAAGAAAUCAACCGAGAUUCCCCCAGUAGCGGCGAGCGAACGGGGAGGAGCCCAGAGCCUGAAUCAGCAUGUGUGUUAGUGGAAGCGUCUGGAAAGGCGCGCGAUACAGGGUGACAGCCCCGUACACAAAAGCGCAUGUGCUGUGAGCUCGAUGAGUAGGGCGGGACACGUGGUAUCCUGUCUGAAUAUGGGGGGACCAUCCUCCAAGGCUAAAUACUCCUGACUGACCGAUAGUGAACCAGUACCGUGAGGGAAAGGCGAAAAGAACCCCGGCGAGGGGAGUGAAAAAGAACCUGAAACCGUGUACGUACAAGCAGUGGGAGCACCCUUUUGGGUGUGACUGCGUACCUUUUGUAUAAUGGGUCAGCGACUUAUAUUCUGUAGCA